rnacentral:rRNA from 1 species
UGAGGAAUAUUGGGCAAUGCCCGCAAGGGUGACCCAGCAACGCCGCGUGGAGGAUGAAUGUCGUAAGAUUGUAAACUCCUGUUAGAGGGGAAGAAUAGUACCGGUUGGACCGGUAUAUGACUGUACCCUCAGAGAAAGCCCCGGCUAACUACGUGCCAGCAGCCGCGGUAAUACGUAGGGGGCAAGCGUUGUCCGGAUUUACUGGGUGUAAAGGGCGCGCAGGCGGGAUAAAAAGUCAGUGGUGAAAUCCUACAGCUUAACUGUAGAACUGCCUUUGAUACUUUUAUUCUUGAGUUCGGGAGAGAGAGACCGAAUUCCAGGUGUAGUGGUGAAAUACGUAGAUAUCUGGAAGAACACCAGUUGCGAAGGCGGUCUCUUGGUCCGACACUGACGCUGAGGCGCGAAAGCGUGGGGAGCAAACA